GGCGUCUACCCUUAAUCUAGGAUAAAACAUACCUAAUCUUUCGGAAGGUCAACUACCCGCUCCUAACUUUGUGCCGCUCUCCAUGCCCUAGGCCUAGAGACUCCAUCCGUGAGAUGUGGUCUCACUAUCCAGGUUGACGACUCCGGCGGCUGGUGGCGCUCCCAUUCGUCGCCAGCGAGCAGAAGUUGCAGCCUCGCGGCCCGAGGAUGGUUGAUGCAUCAUAUGAGGAGGUGUAUGCAUAAUGGUUUGAAUAAAGGAGGCUGCCAUAUGUACUUGAGGACAUCAAGUUGAGGAAUUACGUUGGACUAGUGACACAACAACUCACAAUCCAAACCCUACUCAAGUUCUUCUCCCAUUAUUCCUGCUCCACCCCAUCCAUAAAUAAGCCUGCAUUGUUAAUUCCCUCCUCUUCCAUCCGUUAAAUUCAUCUCUGAACCCCUAAUAAGUUGUCUUAGUACAUCACGUUUCAUCAACAACAAUAGUUUUUUCCUUAUCUAUCUUCAUCACUUCUCUGCGUCAUAUUAUACAUUUUGGCGAGCGGAGGAGAACCAGCUAGGGUGUGAUAUGCAUAGCCUAAAGUGGCACCAUGCAGGCCUAGCUUGGAGAAGUAUGAACAUUGGAGCAAGAACAAGCAUGGAGUUGAUAGCAUGCGCAAGGGAAA